UACGUAGGGUGCAAGCGUUAAUCGGAAUUACUGGGCGUAAAGCGUGCGCAGGCGGUUUUGUAAGUCUGUCGUGAAAUCCCCCGGGCUCAACCUGGGAAUUGCGAUGGAGACUGCAAGGCUAGAAUCUGGCAGAGGGGGGUAGAAUUCCACGUGUGAGCAGUGAAAUGCGUAGAGAUGUGGAGGAACACCGAUGGCGAAGGCAGCCCCCUGGGUCAAGAUUGACGCUCAUGCACGAAAGCGUGGGAGCAACA
rnacentral:rRNA from 1 species